rnacentral:rRNA from 1 species
AUCCAGACUCCUACGGGAGGCAGCAGUGGGGAAUAUUGCACAAUGGGGGGAACCCUGAUGCAGCAACGCCGCGUGGGUGAAGAAGUACUUCGGUAUGUAAAGCCCUGUCAGCAGGGAAGAAAAUGACGGUACCUGGGGAGGAAGCUCCGGCUAACUACGUGCCAGCAGCCGCGGUAAUACGUAGGGAGCGAGCGUUGUCCGGAAUUACUGGGUGUAAAGGGAGCGUAGGCGGGGAUGCAAGUUGGGUGUCAAAACUACCGGCUCAACUGGUAGUCGCACUCAAAACUGCAGCUCUUGAGUGAAGUAGAGGCAGGCGGAAUUCCUAGUGUAGCGGUGAAAUGCGUAGAUAUUAGGAGGAACACCAGUGGCGAAGGCGGCCUGCUGGGCUUUUACUGACGCUGAGGCUCGAAAGUGUGGGGAGCAAACAGGAUUAGAUACCCCCGUACC